ensembl:lncRNA
AGACUGGGAACAAGAAGAUGUAUAUAGCGUUGGGGCUUGGUUUUUAUUCUUUUUCAUUUGGUUUUAUUUUGGUUGGUUGGUUGGUUGAUUUUGUUGAGGUUUUUUGUUGGUUUGUUUUUUUUUUUUUAAUUUUUAAAUAAAUGUUUGAUUUCUAAUGUCUUGAUGUAAAUCAAAUAAAAAUGGUUCUGUACAUUCAGAAGUAAAGAACAGCUGAAAGGUGACAAGCGUAAUAAAGAAGCACUGUCCUCCAGGCUGAUACAACAAUACCAUUUCCCAGACUUUCCCACAGGGAUUGGAGGGUGAAUCUGUGCCUGUGCCUGCACAGAAGUGCAGCCCACCAAGAUGGUGACCUUAGGGCUGGCUCCCUGAUCCACCUCCAAGUCCAGUGAAGAGGUGGGCAGUAGAGGAGGAAGUCAUGUUGUAUAAGUAACUAUUCAGUGUUUGAUCCCACCAUCCCUGAGGUCAAUGAGAGGAGGCUGUGUAUUAGAUCCUGAUCCCUUGCACAUUUGGCCUCUUCCUGGAGAGCCAAACUGUACUAUGCCUUACUGUAUCUUGGGAUGUAGUAGUGAAGGGAUGAAAAUGAUAUCAGGUAUCACUUGCAUAAAUAUAGUAAUGCAUGUGGAGUAAAGGCUGUAUGAGCCUGAACAGUCUUGGAGAAGCUGCUGUUGCUGAUGCUGCUUUCUGCCUUGUGAUUUGGUCUAGGGUGACAAGUGUUAGGAAAUGCCCAGCUGCUGAGAAGAGUUAUCAAGGAAGUCUUCAAUGUUGACAGACUUCUCUUAAGAGCCUUUGCAUUUCAAUAGACCUUUGUCUGCAAGUUCCUGGCUGUUUGGGAAGAGAUGGAAAAGACGGAUUUAGAAGACAGUGCAAAGCAGAGACCUUGAGUUAAGCUUAGCUAUCUGUUUUAGUGGCCACUGGACUUGCAGAGAAAAAUUCUUCAGCAGAAGAAGCACAGAAGGUCAGAGGUGCAAAUGAGCAGGCUCAAGUUUAUGGCAUUGACUGAUUCUGGACCAAGGGACAUUUGGUCUCCAUGCAGCUUCCAGUUAGCAGAAAUGAGUGAUAGGGGAAUGCCAUAGAUGAUAAUGGUAGUGGGUCUGAAACCUAUAGGUAACCAUCUGUAUUAUAACCAAUCUUUGUCUGGGCUGGGAAGAAUGCCAAGAGUGAAAAAUAAGAGGUGAAACUGUUUUCUGAAGAACAAAUGCCCACUCAUGAUGUGCUACCACGGGGAUGUUAAGCCAAGAGGUAUGAAAGCAAACAAGAUUAGACCUCUAAGUCCGGGGCAUCCUUCCCAGGAAAGGCUAGACCAUUUAUGCCAAUCUGUCAUCCUCUCAAACUGCACUCAUCCAUCUUCCCUUCAAAGAUGAAGAAGUGGCAACAUCUUCUCUAACUGGGGACGUCUUAUGUGGCCAGAAUUUCAAACAAAGUCCUAACUGAACAACAGUGACAACAGGGAGAUCAAUGGCAAUGUCAAUAUACAUUAUCAAAGGGACUGCUGUGAACCAUCUUGGCAUACUCUGAGUGGCCGCGUUGCAUCCUGUACAGCAUUACAAAAACAAACAGAAGAAAAAGAAAGAGAAAAAAAAAAAAGAACAAACCACCCAUUUUUAUGUUCUUUAAUUUGCAUUUUCUGCAUGAAAUAAGACCUUGAUCCUUGUCUUUUUUCACAAAAGCAGGUUCUGCUUUAACUAAUGUAAAAAAAAAAAAAAAAAAAAAAGGAAAGAAAAUAAUGUUUCUAUAGCAAAGUGAUUUAG